rnacentral:lncRNA from 1 species
CCCAAGUCCAUCACAUCUGAUAACCACUGUCAGGCUAGACAGUGGACUCAUGGUGCUCUCAGGGCGACCUCACAGGGGCUUGGCCGUGGCACUGAGGGGAGAGCCUGAUUGGCUGGCUGUUUCAUUGCCAGAUCUCUGAAGGCCAAUCAGGAUUUGUAGCUCAGCCACCUGCUUUCUGAGGAGCACUGAGCAAGAUGGCCACCUCCUGGUGGUAAGUCUCGCUCCUGGAGUUCCCAUCUUGACCCUACAGCGGGACAUUUUGCCGCCACCUCUUUGUGUGUUGGGAAGAUGACGUCCUUUCUGCUCGUCCUGCUUCUCUGAUUGAUCUGUGUCUCUGGAGAUCCCUUUGCUCAGCCAUCAGAUCAAGCAGGCAUCCAUGGUUCAGAAUGCAGGUGAUGACCUGGGCAAGAGCUCACCAGUAAGGAGCAAAGGGGCCCGCCUGCCACUCUUAAGCAGAGCGCCUGCUGAAUCAGGAUUUCCAAGGCUCCGGCUGAGUGCCUGGCUGGGGGCUGUGUGUGCAGAUGCCACAAGAUGGACAAGACUGAGGACGCAGAUGAGGAAACUGAAGCAACUGUUCAAGAAGAGGAUAUAAAAAGGGACAGGCAUUGAUGAUGAUAUCAGAGCUUCUUCCUGGGGAAUCUCAGCCUCACAUGAUGGAGUAUGACUAAAGGAAAAAAAUAAGGCUCUUCACAUACUUUCUUGGCAGUCUGUGAGGGUCAGGGUUGAUUUUGUGUCCCUAAAAUGUCACAUGAAGUUCAUAGGCACUUCCAAAGGGGCAGUCUAGCAAGUUAAAGAGUAGAUGUGGGGCUGUGUGGAGUCCAUUGUUUGGGUAAUCUUUUUCAAACAGUAGGAAUAUACCAGCUUGUAAAGAUUUGCCCACUUAGCUUCAAGUCUCUCUGAACACAUUUCCCCCCGCUCUAUGAAUAGAUGAAGACAUACAAAUGGAACUCUUGAUAUUCUUAAGUGAAAAACAUGAUAUGGAAUAGCAGAUAAAUACAAACAAUUUCUUAUCCAGCAAAGAGCUCCAGAAAUAUUUUGACUUCAUUUAAAACAGUUAUAUAAAUAUUUGCUGGUGGAAUUUUUUUCUAAACCAAAUACCCUGAAGGAUUUUAGUUGUCUAUCUACAACUUUUUGCUUGUGGAAAAUGUUGACUUCCUGGUUACUUUGACUUGUGUUCACCUGAAAUUUUGCUUUUGCAGUAGUUUUUCUUAUGAUUUAGUGGCAUUGCCUGUCCAGUGACAGGAAGUGGUGUUCUUAUUGGGACUAAUAUGUGUUAUGGCCCUAGAACCAGCAGAAGCCACUCCUGCUUUUUUCCACACUCUUCUUUCUAUAGAAGAGAAGGGAAUGAGGAUCCCACAUGGCAUUCACUGCCUUGAGCAUACUGAGAUUUCUUUGCAAAAGGAGAAACAGCACCAGCAACUAAGCAUUUUAUCCCAUUUUAUUUUACUUCUUCUAUGAUUCUUUGCCACUUAGCAAUGCCAAUUAAUUGAUUUGGGACUGGAAAUACAUUUCUUAUACAAUCUUCAAGUUUUCUUUCAUAAGAACAUAACUUUCAUCUGAUAUUGUUCCCCACUUCUCUCUUUUCAAAUGUAAUAUUUGGGCCAGUCCUUGAAAGUGAACUGAGUUGAGUUCUCAUGGCCCAUAAAAGAACAUAUUCAAAAUGUAUCAUUUUCUUUAUGUCACAGAUAAAAGAUCAUUAAUUGUAUAUAAAAUUUCCAUAUAAUUUUUAAAAUUUUUAUUUUGCAAUAAUUUAUUUUAGAUUUACAUUAAAGUUGCAAGGAAGGU